GAACGAGAAAUCUUUAGCUUGCUAGAGAAAGUAAAGUGGCGCACGGGUGAGUAACGCGUGGGUAAUCUGCCUCCGAAUCGGGGAUAACAUUGCGAAAGCGAUGCUAAUACCGGAUAGAAUCUGGUUGGCUUAGGUGAACCGGAUCAAAGGUGGUCUCUUUAUAAAAGCUACCGUUUGGAGAUGAGCUCGCGUACCAUUAGCUAGUUGGUGAGGUAAAGGCUCACCAAGGCGACGAUGGUUAGCUGGUCUGAGAGGAUGAUCAGCCACACCGGAACUGGAACACGGUCCGGACUCCUACGGGAGGCAGCAGUGAGGAAUUUUGCGCAAUGGGGGAAACCCUGACGCAGCAACGCCGCGUGAGUGAUGAAGGCUUUCGGGUCGUAAAGCUCUGUCAGGUGGGAAGAACCCACCAAGUGUUAAGACCACUUGGUGCUGACGGUACCACCGAAGGAAGCACCGGCUAACUCCGUGCCAGCAGCCGCGGUAAUACGGGGGGUGCGAGCGUUAUUCGGAAUCAUUGGGCGUAAAGGGCGCGCAGGCGGUUUUGUAAGUCAGAUGUGAAAUCCCGGGGCUUAACCCCGGAAGUGCAUAUGAAACUAUGAGACUUGAGUAUGGGAGAGGGAAGCGGAAUUCCUGGUGUAGCGGUGA
rnacentral:rRNA from 1 species